UACGAAGGGGGCUAGCGUUGUUCGGAAUCACUGGGCGUAAAGCGCACGUAGGCGGAUUGUUAAGUCGGGGGUGAAAUCCUGAGGCUCAACCUCAGAACUGCCUUCGAUACUGGCAAUCUCGAGUCCGGAAGAGGUUGGUGGAACAGCUAGUGUAGAGGUGAAAUUCGUAGAUAUUCGCAAGAACACCAGUGGCGAAGGCGGCUGACUGGUCCGGUUCUGACGCUGAGGCGCGAAAGCGUGGGGAGCAAACAGG
rnacentral:rRNA from 1 species